CUCAACCACGGAGCCACACCGCAUUGUUGUCCACAGAAAAUGGGUUGAUUCUAAGUGGAUCUCAUGUUCCUUCUCUGGCUCACACGAUGGUGGAGGUUCCAUAACCCUCAUCAGGAGAACAUGGGGCAGCUGCUGCUUGGCCUGUUCCAAUCCCGAGAGAAUGCGGGCAGUGUGCAUUUCCAGCAGAUGUCAGUGUUGACGUUUGAUGUGAUCUGGGAAGGCCUCCAAACCUAGGGCUUCGCCAUGAAGAUGAGCAGAGGGCUGUGCAGCUCCUUCGUCCUUGUGACGUG